UACAGAGACUGCAAGCGUUAUUCGGCUUCACUGGGCGUAAAGGGUGCGCAGGCGGCCAAGUGUGUGAGGCGUGAAAGCCCGGGGCUUAACCCCGGAAUUGCACCUCAAACUACAUGGCUAGAGCAUUGGAGAGGGUAGCGGAAUUCACGGUGUAGCAGUGAAAUGCGUAGAUAUCGUGAGGAACACCAGAGGCGAAGGCGGCUACCUGGACAAUUGCUGACGCUCAGGCACGAAAGCGUGGGGAGCAAAAGGG
rnacentral:rRNA from 1 species